AGCGAACGCUGGCGGCAGGCCUAACACAUGCAAGUCGAACGAACUCUUCGGAGUUAGUGGCGGACGGGUGAGUAACACGUGGGAACGUGCCUUUAGGUUCGGAAUAACUCAGGGAAACUUGUGCUAAUACCGAAUGUGCCCUUCGGGGGAAAGAUUUAUCGCCUUUAGAGCGGCCCGCGUCUGAUUAGCUAGUUGGUGAGGUAAAGGCUCACCAAGGCUACGAUCAGUAGCUGGUCUGAGAGGAUGACCAGCCACAUUGGGACUGAGACACGGCCCAAACUCCUACGGGAGGCAGCAGUGGGGAAUCUUGCGCAAUGGGCGAAAGCCUGACGCAGCCAUGCCGCGUGGAUGAUGAAGGUCUUAGGAUUGUAAAAUCCUUUCACCGGUGAAGAUAAUGACUGUAGCCGGAGAAGAAGCCCCGGCUAACUUCGUG
rnacentral:rRNA from 1 species